rnacentral:rRNA from 1 species
CAAGGUUAAAACUCAAAUGAAUUGACGGGGGCCCGCACAAGCGGUGGAGCAUGUGGUUUAAUUCGAUGCAACGCGAAGAACCUUACCUGGUCUUGACAUCCACAGAACUUUCCAGAGAUGGAUUGGUGCCUUCGGGAACUGUGAGACAGGUGCUGCAUGGCUGUCGUCAGCUCGUGUUGUGAAAUGUUGGGUUAAGUCCCGCAACGAGCGCAACCCUUAUCCUUUGUUGCCAGCGGUUCGGCCGGGAACUCAAAGGAGACUGCCAGUGAUAAACUGGAGGAAGGUGGGGAUGACGUCAAGUCAUCAUGGCCCUUACGACCAGGGCUACACACGUGCUACAAUGGCAUAUACAAAGAGAAGCGACCUCGCGAGAGCAAGCGGACCUCAUAAAGUAUGUCGUAGUCCGGAUUGGAGUCUGCAACUCGACUCCAUGAAGUCGGAAUCG